rnacentral:lncRNA from 10 species
GUUCCGUUUUGCGAUGUGGUUUCGUUCUUCUUUCGCUCUUUGUAAUAAAUCUUGCUACUGCUCACUGUUUGGGUCUACACUGCCUUUAUGAGCUGUGACACUCCCCAGGAAGGCCUGCAGCUUCACUCCUGAAACCAGCGGGACCACGAACCCAUCAGAAGGAAGAAACUCCAAACACAUCCCAAUAUCAGAAGGAACAAACUCCAGACACGCCGCUUUUAAGAACUGUAACACUCACCGCGAGGGUCUGCAGCUUCAUUGUUGAAGUCCGUGAGACUAAGAAUCCUCCAAUUCCGGGCACAGGAUUAUGCUGCAGUAACAAACAACCCAAGUCCCAGGAGCUUAAAACAAGAGUUUAUUUUUCACCAAAAUUAUCUAUUUAAUAAUGCAGGUUGGCAAGAUGGAGACUAGGGGAGGGUUCAGCUAGUUGUAUUUUUUCAGGGAUCCAGGGUGAUGGAAGUUUCUUCUCAACUUUUGUCUUCAGGAUCAUCUGUGGUAGUGGAUCAGAGCAUUCAAUGAUCUUCCACCACAAGUUAAAUGCUCUGGUCUAAGCUAGCACACAUGACUUCCACCCACAACUCUUCAGGUAGCACUGAUUCCAUGUCCUUGCCCAACUACAGGGUGGAGGAGGCAGAGAAGUACAAUCCACCCAGGAGCUUGGGAGGAAAGGAGAAUAGCCUCUGAAUCAUAGAAGACUCCAUGGCAGCUGCUUUUGUCUCCCUUUGUCACUGCCACGCCUCCUCUUCCUCCAUAAAUAGACAUUCCAGUGCUUUUGAUCCUCUAGAGCUCUGCCUUUUUGUUAUUAUUGUUGCUAUUACUUGAUCUACCAGUUUUUGAGAAGAGUGAAUUAAAAUCCUCACUGCAGGCCAGCCACGGUGGCUCACGCCUGUAAUCCCA